AUGCGGCAUGCCUACACAUGCAGUCGUACGGAGAGUGGGGCAACUCACUCUCAGUGGCAAACGGGUGAGUAACGCGUGAAUAACCUGCCUUUGAGAAGGGGAUAACUGUCCGAAAGGAUAGAUAAUACCCUAUAUUGCCUUUUGUCACUAAGGCAAAAAGUGAAAGCGAGGCUGUCAAAGGCUUCGGCUCAAAGAGGGGUUCGCGUCCUAUCAGGUAGUUGAGUAGGGUAAUGGCCUACCAAGCCAAUGACGGGUAGCUGGUCUUAGAGGAUGAUCAGCCACAGUGGGACUGAGACACGGCCCGCACCCCUACGGGGGGCAGCAGUGGGGAAUCGUGGGCAAUGGGCGCAAGCCUGACCCCGCAAUGCCGCGUGAGGGAAGAAGCCCUUCGGGGUGUAAACCUCUGUCAGAUGGGAAGAUGGGACUAGGGGCUAAUACCUCCUAGUCUUGACGGUACCAUCAGAGGAAGGGACGGCUAACUACGUGCCAGCAGCCGCGGUAAU
rnacentral:rRNA from 1 species